CCAGACUCCUACGGGAGGCAGCAGUGGGGAAUAUUGCACAAUGGGGGGAACCCUGAUGCAGCGACGCCGCGUGAGUGAAGAAGGAUUUCGGGAUGGAAAGCUCUAUCAGCAGGGAAGAAAAUGACGGUACCUGACUAAGAAGCCCCGGCUAACUAUAAGCCAGCAGCCGCAGCAAUACGUAGGGGGCAAGCGUUAUCCGGAUUUACUGGGUGUAAAGGGAGCGUAGACGGUUAUGCAAGUCUGAAGUGAAAGCCCAAGGCUCAACCAUGGGACUGCUUUGGAAGCUGUAAAACAGGAGUGCAGGAGAGGUAAGCGGAAUUCCUGGGGUAGCGGUGAAAUGAG
rnacentral:rRNA from 1 species